GAUGAAGAACGUAGCGAAAUGCGAUAAUUAAUGUGAAUUGCAGAAUUCAGUGAAUCAUCGAGUCUUUGAACGCACAUUGCGCCCCCUGGCAUUCCGGGGGGCAUGCCUGUCCGAGCGUCAUUGCUGCCCUUCAAGCCCGGCUUGUGUGUUGGGUCGUCGUCCCCCCCGGGGGACGGGCCCGAAAGGCAGCGGCGGCACCGCGUCCGGUCCUCGAGCGUAUGGGGCUUUGUCACCCGCUCGAUUAGGGCCGGCCGGGCGCCAGCCGGCGUCUCCAACCUUCUAUUUUACCAGGUUGACCUCGGAUCAGGUAGGGAUACCCGCUGAACUUAAGCAUAUCAAUAAGCGGAGGA
rnacentral:misc_RNA from 1 species